CACACCCGUUCCCAUACCGAACACGGAAGUUAAGCUCUCUAGCGCCGAUGGUAGUUGGGACCUUGUCCCUGUGAGAGUAGGAC
rnacentral:rRNA from 1 species